rnacentral:rRNA from 1 species
AAAUGACUCUCGGCAACGGAUAUCUCGGCUCUUGCAUCGAUGAAGAACGCAGCGAAAUGCGAUACUUGGUGUGAAUUGCAGAAUCCCGUGAACCAUCGAGUCUUUGAACGCAAGUUGCGCCUGAAGCCAUUAGGUUGAGGGCACGCCUGCCUGGGUGUCACAC